CCUGGUUGAUUCUGCCAGUAGUCAUAUGCUUGUCUCAAAGAUUAAGCCAUGCAUGUCUAAGUAUAAGCAAUCUAUACGGUGAAACUGCGAAUGGCUCAUUAAAUCAGUUAUCGUUUAUUUGAUAGUACCUUACUACUUGGAUACCCGUGGUAAUUCUAGAGCUAAUACAUGCUAAAAACCUCGACUUCGGAAGGGGUGUAUUUAUUAGAUAAAAAACCAAUGCCCUUCGGGGCUCCUUGGUGAUUCAUAAUAACUUAUCGAAUCGCAUGGCCUUGCGCCGGCGAUGGUUCAUUCAAAUUUCUGCCCUAUCAACUUUCGAUGGUAGGAUAGUGGCCUACCAUGGUGGCAACGGGUAACGGGGAAUUAGGGUUCGAUUCCGGAGAGGGAGCCUGAGAAACGGCUACCACAUCCAAGGAAGGCAGCAGGCGCGCAAAUUACCCAAUCCCGAUACGGGGAGGUAGUGACAAUAAAUACUGAUACAGGGCUCUUUCGGGUCUUGUAAUUGGAAUGAGUACAAUCUAAAUCCCUUAACGAGGAACAAUUGGAGGGCAAGUCUGGUGCCAGCAGCCGCGGUAAUUCCAGCUCCAAUAGCGUAUAUUAAAGUUGUUGCAGUUAAAAAGCUCGUAGUUGAACCUUGGGUCUGGCUGGCCGGUCCGCCUCACCGCGUGCACUGGUCCGGCCGGACCUUUCCUCCUGGGAAGCCCCAUGGCCUUUACUGGCUGUGGGGGGAACCAGGACUUUUACUGUGAAAAAAUUAGAGUGUUCAAAGCAGGCCUUUGCUCGGAUACAUUAGCAUGGAAUAAUAGAAUAGGACGUGUGGUUCUAUUUUGUUGGUUUCUAGGACCGCCGUAAUGAUUAAUAGGGAUGGUCGGGGGCGUCAGUAUUCGGCUGUCAGAGGUGAAAUUCUUGGAUUUGCUGAAGACUAACUACUGCGAAAGCAUUCGCCAAGGAUGUUUUCAUUAAUCAGUGAACGAAAGUUAGGGGAUCGAAGACGAUCAGAUACCGUCG
rnacentral:rRNA from 1 species